rnacentral:rRNA from 1 species
AUUGAACGCUGGCGGCAGGCCUAACACAUGCAAGUCGAACGGUAACAGGAAACAGCUUGCUGUUUCGCUGACGAGUGGCGGACGGGUGAGUAAUGUCUGGGAAACUGCCUGAUGGAGGGGGAUAACUACUGGAAACGGUAGCUAAUACCGCAUAACGUCGCAAGACCAAAGAGGGGGACCUUCGGGCCUCUUGCCAUCGGAUGUGACCAGAUGGGAUUAGCUAGUAGGUGGGGUAACGGCUCACCUAGGCGACGAUCCCUAGCUGGUCUGAGAGGAUGACCAGCCACACUGGAACUGAGACACGGUCCAGACUCCUACGGGAGGCAGCAGUGGGGAAUAUUGCACAAUGGGCGCAAGCCUGAUGCAGCCAUGCCGCGUGUAUGAAGAAGGCCUUCGGGUUGUAAAGUACUUUUAGCGGGGAGGAAGGGAAUAAAGUUAAUACCUUGACUCAUUGACGUUACCCGCAGAAGAAGCACCGGCUAACUCCGUG